UUGAUAUAUCAUCGAUGUGUAUUAUCAAUUUGUAUUUGAUUGUAAAAAAAAGGAGAUGAAAUUUGAUUCAUUGGAGGAUCUUAAUUUUACAUGGUUUUUUAUAUGGAUUUCUAUACAUUCGAUUUCUAAAAGUUACAUAUUAUCAUGUGUGAAAUUUUACUUCGUAUAAAUUCCAUUUUUAACGUAAUUUUUCUUAAUGAUAAUUUUUAAGGAUUAACCUAUAUAAAUUUGAACUUUGCAAAACAACAAUAUGAAGAGUUGCGGUAAAAGCAGUGGAACAGCUAUAAUAACGAAUUAGAUAGAAGUGCAGAAGACGAAGAAGAAAAAUAUAUACGAAGGAAACAAGAUGAAAUUGAGACGAGAGUAUCGGGGUGGAGGAAAGAGAUAACGAAUCAAAGAAAGAAACAAAAGGAGAGCAAGAUACGAAAAACGGUGGCAUUGAACUUGACACAACGACGAAGUACCGUGGUCUUUGCGGGAGAAGAAGAGGACCGGUGCUACCGGGAUUCGAAAAGAGGAGGGGAGAUGAGGGCGACCGGUCGAAAAGCAGGUUUCGGUGGCCUGUUCGUAUAAACUCAAAGGUAAAGUGGGAGGCCCCCGAUGGACAUGAAGAGAGAUCGAGGAACGAGAUGCGAUAAAUCCUUCUUCAUCUGUUCGUUCCGCUUUUCUGUCCUUUUUCGGAUCUUUUCGACCUUGUCGUGAUCACAGAUACAAGAUCGACGGUUGGAAUUGUUGGAGUUGCGAUGAUUCCGUUUCCGGACACUAUGAAAUUCCAAUAUGUAAACAUCGUUUGUAUCAUUUUCUUUUUCCCACCUUUUUUUCUUUCUUAUUUUUAACCUAUAUAAAAUUUAUGUUAAAUCAUCGAUACGAUAUUUUGAUAUAUCCGCUUUUUUCAUUAUUAUAGGACUACGAAUAAACUUGUUUUAUUUUGAAACAAAUGAAACGUAAUUUUACGUCUGAACUAUGCUCUUAUAUGCACAACGGUGUAAGAUAUAAUGACUUCUUGUCGCAGAAUGUAUCCGGUAAUGACAUUUUAUCGUUUAUCAAUAAUAAUGUUAAAAAAAUAUUUAUCUUUGCCUAUGAAAAUCCUCAGUAUUUACUUCCACAAAUCGAAAUAUUAUUUUUCUUUUUUUAUUACAGACAAUAGCGUCGUAUUUAUCAAAACAACUCGAUAAAGCUUUUGAUACUUCUUCCCAACUCUACAAUCACUGUUAUAUCCUGUCAAAGAUAAUCAAGUUUCCGGAUAUUUCAUCGACUUCGUACACGAUAAAAAAAAUGACCGCGCGAUAACGACCACAUCAUCAAGCUAUUCAAAUAUUUAUCAUUCAUUAGGAGGAAAAAAAGAUGAGUGAGAACACGAUUGAAAUGCGAGGAUGGGGGAUUCCGUGGAAUCUCACGCGAAAAUAAUCCCCGGUAUGAACGAAACAGUGUGUAUAUAGAAGGUAAUUGAUGGACCUUGCUUGGAUCGAGA